UUUAUGAGUGGAAGAAGGAGUCAGAAGAAUCAAAGUCUACAGACCUAAAGAUGCUGCUCUGCUGAUUUAGAAGAAGACAGCAGGUGUCAAGAAAUGGAGCAGCAUCUGAAAACUGGAAAAGUCAAGGAACCAAUUCUGCCCUAAAGGCUCCAGAAGGAACACAGCAGUACUGACACCUAGCUUUCAGCCUAGUGAGAACCAUUUUUAACCUCUGACCUCCAGAAAUCUAUUGAAAAUGGUCACCCAGAAUAACACAUUUCCCCACUUUUCCUGAAGCUAGAUUUGAAGAUAUGACUACCUUGUGGCCAGUGGGAUAUAAAUGCAUCUUUUCUGUGUAGACUUCUGGGAACUUUUUUAGGAGAGCCCUAGCUACAUCCUUUCUGGAUCCUAAUACCUGUAGCAAAGAGGAAACUUUGCACAAUGGGGAUAAGGAUCACACCAUACAGAUGAUAAAUGAUUACAUUGGAAGAAUCCAGGCUAUAAAAAAUUGUAUUUUUCAAAAAGGAUACAGCAAGAUUUCAGAUCUCAAAUACUGUUCCAGAACCUAUUGCCUGUGACAAUCGUUACUCCCCCUAAAGAGGCAAAAUGAUUUCCUUUCCACUGGAACCGGGGUCAAAUUUUUUGAUGGCCUUGAUGAAUAAAGUGUGGCACAAGUGACACUGCAAGACUUUGGAGGGUAGGCCAUAAAGGGAAAGAAAGCUUCUGGGUUUCUUUUAGUCCUGGGACUGGGCUGCCAUACUGUGACAAAGCACACAUGAAAGAACAUCAAGAGAUGUUUAGAUGAAAUCCAAAUCACAUUUAUGUGAAUCCAGCCCCCAGCCUUUGAAUCCUUCAGUUAACUUCCCCAACUUUGUGGAGUAGAGAAAAAUUGUCCCCACUGUGACUAUCCAAAUAUCUUGCCUUCACAAUCUGAACAUAAUAAAUUUUUGAUUUAUACCAAUA
rnacentral:lncRNA from 1 species